rnacentral:tRNA from 1 species
CCUCAAGUGGUAGAAACAGUUAAUGCGCUGGGCUGCUAACCCAGAGAUUGGAGGUUCGAGUCUACCCAGAGGC